rnacentral:miRNA from 1 species
UUGGCACUGGCACAUUUUUGUGAGCAAUGGACAACAAAAAUUGUAUCAGUGUCGAGG